rnacentral:rRNA from 1 species
CUCAGGAUGAACGCUAGCGGCAGGCUUAACACAUGCAAGUCGACGGGUAUAUUUCUUCGGAGAUAGAGACCGGCGCACGGGUGCGUAACGCGUAUGCAAUCUACCUUUUACAGAGGGAUAGCCCAAAGAAAUUUGGAUUAAUACCUCAUAGCAUUACAUGACAGCAUGGUAUUGCAAUUAAAGUCACAACGGUAAAAGAUGAGCAUGCGUCCCAUUAGUUAGUUGGUAAGGUAACGGCUUACCAAGGCUCCGAUGGGUAGGGGUCCUGAGAGGGAGAUCCCCCACACUGGUACUGAGACACGGACCAGACUCGUACGGGAGGCAGCAGUGAGGAAUAUUGGACAAUGGGCCCAAGCCUGAUCCAGCCAUGCCGCGUGCAGGAUGACGGUCCUAUGGAUUGUAAACUGCUUUUAUACACGAAGAAACACUGGUUCGUGCGGAGACUUGACGGUAUCGUAAGAAUAAGGAUC